rnacentral:rRNA from 1 species
AAUUUUUAAUGUAGAAUUAAAUGUUAAUCUAAAGAGGUACAGCCCUUUAGAUACAGGGUACAACCUUAAAUGGAGAGUAAGCACAAAGUACAACCAUAGUUGGCCUAAAAGCAGCCAUCAAUUAAGAAAGCGUUCAAGCUCAACAAUUUAAAUUACUUAAUCCCAAUAGUACACCUAACUCCCAAACUUCAACUGGAUUAAUCUAUUAGAAAAUAGAAGAAAUACUGUUAAUAUGAGUAACAAGAAUUAUUUCUCCCUGCACAAACCUAUAUCAGAUCGGAUGACCCACUGAUAGUUAACAAACUAAUAAUAGUAACCUAAGCAUAAAAAACUUAUUAAUCAAAUUGUUAACCCAACACAGGUGUGCUACAACCCAAAGGAAAGAUUAAAAGAAGUAAAAGGAACUCGGCAAACACAAACCCCGCCUGUUUACCAAAAACAUCACCUCUGGCAUUAUUAGUAUCAGAGGCACUGCCUGCCCAGUGACAUAAGUUAAACGGCCGCGGUAUCCUGACCGUGCAAAGGUAGCAUAAUCAUUUGUUCUUUAAUUAAGGACUUGUAUGAAAGGCCCCACGAGGGUUUAACUGUCUCUUACUUCCAAUCAGUGAAAUUGACCUUCCCGUGAAGAGGCGGGAAUAACACAAUAAGACGAGAAGACCCUAUGGAGCUUUAAUUAAUUAACUCAAGAAAGUAAUAUUUUAACCCGAUAGGUAUUAACAUAACUAUAACUGAGUUAACAAUUUCGGUUGGGGUGACCUCGGAGUACAAACUAACCUCCGAGAGAUUUUAGUUUAGACUUACAAGUCAAAACCUGUAAAAAAUCAUAAUUGAUCCAAUAAAAUUUGAUCAACGGAACAAGUUACCCUAGGGAUAACAGCGCAAUCCUAUUUAAGAGUCCAUAUCGACAAUAGGGUUUACGACCUCGAUGUUGGAUCAGGACAUCCCAAUGGUGCAGCCGCUAUUAAUGGUUCGUUU